CUUUUUGUUUUCUCUGGAGAUGUACUGGAGGGUUUGUCUGUGCUUCAGCUGUUGCUGUAUGUGAGAUGGACAGAAGGCUUAGGAAUACCACCAGCAACCACAAAUGACGAAUCUCAGUCUUGUAUCUAGCAACCACACCACGUCCUUUGGAAGGGAAGGCAUGCCAAAGUAGUUUCCUGUGAGGAAGCAGAGCACCAGUGUUUUUCGGCAGUGGCUUACCGUAUGAUGCCUUUUCUUUUAUGCAAGAAAAAGUAAUGUUUAGAAACAAGCCCAAGCCACAGAUUUCAGAUCAGGGUACAGCUGGGAAGUGCUUGCCCUAGAACAGCAGCUGGACUGUACUCAGCUUUCUAAAGUAACCCUGCCCAAAAUCCAGCCUCCAGAUCCCACCCUUCAGGCUCAUGCCUCUUUCUUUAGCAAAAGUGGACAUAGAAGCUGAAUCUCAUUUUGUCUGAAAUCUUCACAACAUGUUCUAUGUUCUACUUCUGCUUUCUUAAUAAUUCCUCGCUGCUACAAAAUGGUCUUUUGACCUCUCUCCCUCUUAACCAUUGGUUUUCCAAGCCUUGUUCUUCAGGGGUUAAGCAAAGGAGGCCUGAGAGAAACUGCUGCUAAUUAACUGUGACAGCUGAAAUCCUUGAAACUGCUAUUGAACUUGGAACCUUGUGUGCUAUUGUUCUUAGCUCCUCUGCUGGAGUCUUGCGUGAUGGUGGUUUGGAUGGAAACAUUUUUGGGCAGGUCCUUGGAAAAACAAUGGGAAAAAGCCCUUUUAAACAACCCUGUGAAAGCCAGCAAUGGCAACACUGACCAGAAUUUACAGACUUAAUCCAUGCAUCUGGAACUGAAGGGGAACAUGCCCCCCACAUUGAUGGCAAAAGUCCACCUGCCUGUCAGGGCUCAGAGUAGUAUCUCAGGACCCAGCCAGGAUCUACCUGUGAAGAGUGUUUCCUGCUGCUGCUGAAAGCAGCUCUGUUUGAACAACCUCAAAAUGCUCUCAUUGGGACCCACAAAGGCUGCUGCUCUCUAGAGAAAUUAUCCCCAGAUACGCCUGGUUGCAGUACAGUUCUGUACUCUCUUCCUUACCAAGCAGCACAACCCUCUCCGGCAUAAAUGUGUGCCCAGGUAUGGGACAGAUAGAAAUGACUUCCCUUUCUCAGCAUUAGGUCUUGUGUUAGCCACUGCAACAGGAACAGCUCGGCUUCAGGGAGCUCUGGAGUCUCAAUUGACUCUAGAUGAUCCAUGUAAUAAAGUAAUAAUAAUAAAACCAAUACAGGAAUAUGAUCCUGUAAAUCACUGAGCAUUUCUUAAAGUAAACCGGAUCACUUUUAAAGUUUUUAAGAUUGAUUUAACACUGUCUUUAUGGCCAGUUUGUAUGCUGUAAUGGUAUGGCCUAGUCUUCAGC